rnacentral:rRNA from 1 species
UUUCGCGACUAUAUCCACUGGAAAGCACGAUUUCCCAUCCGAACAAUCAUAGUUGAGCUAGUGAGAGCCUUCAUAAAUACUGCGGUGGGAGACCACAUGAGAACCAAAGGCACUGCGGUCU